rnacentral:rRNA from 1 species
GAGCGGCGAACGGGUGAGUAACACGUGGGUGAUCUGCCUCGCACUCUGGGAUAAGCCUGGGAAACUGGGUCUAAUACCGGAUAGGACCACUGAUCGCAUGGUUGGUGGUGGAAAGAUUUAUCGGUGUGAGAUGGGCCCGCGGCCUAUCAGCUUGUUGGUGGGGUAAUGGCCUACCAAGGCGACGACGGGUAGCCGGCCUGAGAGGGCGACCGGCCACACUGGGACUGAGACACGGCCCAGACUCCUACGGGAGGCAGCAGUGGGGAAUAUUGCACAAUGGGCGAAAGCCUGAUGCAGCGACGCCGCGUGAGGGAUGACGGCCUUCGGGUUGUAAACCUCUUUCGACAGGGACGAAGCGCAAGUGACGGUACCUGUAGAAGAAGCACCGGCCAACUACGUGCCAGCAGCCGCGGUAAUACGUAGGGUGCGAGCGUUGUCCGGAAUUACUGGGCGUAAAGAGCUUGUAGGCGGUCUGUCGCGUCGUCCGUGAAAACUUGGGGCUCAACCCCAAGCUUGCGGGCGAUACCGGGCAGACUUGAGUACUUCAGGGGAGACUGGAAUUCCU